rnacentral:lncRNA from 1 species
CACAGGUCCCCACAGCAUAAAGGGAAGAGUUCGGCUCUCACUGUGAAUGCACUGGUAGAUCACUGAUGGACAGGAGAAUUCUUAGAGAAUUUAAAAGCAUAAUAACCAUAGUGCAGGAAAUUGCCCUCUGUGAUGGUAAAAAAAAUAAAUAUAGGCUUGUCAAAAAAACAAUUCCGUUGAAGCAGAGCUUGCAAAACCACAUUUUGAACUCUGGUUUCCUCUUUGACCUUUGGGCCUCUCAUAUGUAUUAUCUCCUCUGCUCAUACAUUCCCAUCAAUCUGGAUGUAUAGCUAUUGUCUUCUCCCUUUUACAUUCCAGGGAUACGUCCUUUGCUGCAUGCUUAAAGGCUGUUCACCACGUCCCUUCUUCUUUCCCAGUGAAAAACAACCCAAUUGAAAUUGUGGAGCUGAAGAAUAAAAUAAUAGUUGAAAAAUUUACUAGAGUCAAAACAGCAGACUUAAUAAAGCAGAAAAAAGAAUCAGAAAGAUGUAUCAUUUAUAAAUAUUAAGUCAUGGAAAUAAACUUUUUAAAAAUUGAGAAACAUGAAGAUAGAAUAUGGGACUUAUUGGAGGGAACAUGGUAGAGCGGUGAUUUAAAGAAAAAGGGACUAAGGACUUCCAAAAUCUCCAAGUGAUUAAAAAUAAAAUACUAUCAAACAAGAGGACUUGACCUGGGGAAAAUUUACUUCAAAAAUAAAGAAAAAAUAAAGACUUUCUAAAAUAAACAAAAGUUGAAGGUGUCUGCCACCUCUAGAACACACCUACAAGAAGUGAUACAGGGAGUCCAUUAUCUUGACAGACAUUCUGGCUCACACCUGUAAUCCCAGCUACUUGGUAGGCUGAGGCACAAGGAUCAUUUCAUGCCAGGAGUUUGAGACCAGCCUGGGUAAUUAUAGUGAGACCAUGUCUCAAAAAAAUAGGCUGUAUAGUAAUUUUGAGAUUCGGAAAGAAGGUGGUGAAACCCUGCUCAAGCCUAAGACCAACGGGAGUCAUUUUGAGAAGGCUGACCCUCAUUUAGGUGGCAAAGUUGAGGACCUCUGGCUUUGGCUACACACCAGUAAAUGGUCCACUCAACUUGACUCCACUUACAAUUCAAAAGUGACUCUACCCAUCUCCAAAUCCUCCCAGCCAUGGUCCAGAAGUGGUCCUGCCCAUUCAGAGACCUGGGGAGAGAUGCCCAUUCAGAAACCUGGGGAGAGAUGCCCAUUCAUGCCCAGAGAGGCGGGCACUUCAGUUGUACUCAGUUUCAGCCCUCGUAGCCACAGUCCAUGGCCAGUUCUGUCCACCUAAGGACCCACACAGUGACCUGGGGAAAUCCUGUCAGGUACUAAGUGGGAGCCAUACUCAUCCACAAACCUAGUAUUAGGCCCACCAUAGGGAGACUCAACUGUAGAACCCUGCCCUAGUGCCAGCCCUAGAGAUCAAAGUCCUGAAGGCAAUCCAGUCUGCCCAGGAGUAAGACAAGAUUAACAACCACCCAGGCUACUGGUACCAAACUUACUAAAGCCAGACCCAAACAGCAGCCUUAUGAUUAUGACCCACUUACCACCCAUCUCCACUGCAAGCCCAAAAGGGGUCCCAUCAGCCUCAGGACCCCACAAGAGAAGAUCUUUACCUGCUGACACCAGUUUAUAACAAUUAGAAGAAGUGUUUGCUCCUUCAAAUUCACAGAUACCCAUAUAAGGCUGCAUUUUGUCCAUUUUUAAUGGUUCUAUUUUUACACAGUACUGGAAAUCUCAGACAGAACAAUUAGGCUAGAACACUUUCUUAAAGCCAUCUACAUGGAAAAGAAGUAAGAAUGUUGCUGUUUGUAGAUGACAUGAUCUUGUAUUAGAAAACCAUAAACAAUACAUCAAAAUAGUGUUUCAGAUAAUAAGCACACUCAGU